rnacentral:rRNA from 1 species
CCUACGGGAGGCAGCAGUGGGGAAUUUUGGACAAUGGGCGCAAGCCUGAUCCAGCCAUGCCGCGUGCAGGAUGAAGGCCUUCGGGUUGUAAACUGCUUUUGUACGGAACGAAAAGACUCUGGUUAAUACCUGGGGUCCAUGACGGUACCGUAAGAAUAAGCACCGGCUAACUACGUGCCAGCAGCCGCGGUAAUACGUAGGGUGCGAGCGUUAAUCGGAAUUACUGGGCGUAAAGCGUGCGCAGGCGGUUAUAUAAGACAGAUGUGAAAUCCCCGGGCUCAACCUGGGAACUGCAUUUGUGACUGUAUAGCUAGAGUACGGCAGAGGGGGAUGGAAUUCCGCGUGUAGCAGUGAAAUGCGUAGAUAUGCGGAGGAACACCGAUGGCGAAGGCAAUCCCCUGGGCCUGUACUGACGCUCAUGCACGAAAGCGUGGGGAGCAAACAGGAUUAGAUACCCUGGUAGUCCACGCCCUAAACGAUGUCAACUGGUUGUUGGGUCUUCACUGACUCAGUAACGAAGCUAACGCGUGAAGUUGACCGCCUGGGGAGGUACGGCCGCGAGUAGAACGUACGAAGAAGUAGACGCGUGAGACGUACCGACGGACGACGACGAGGGAGGAGG